rnacentral:rRNA from 1 species
GACGAACGCUGGCGGCGUGCCUAAUACAUGCAAGUAGAACGCUGAAGGAGGAGCUUGCUUCUCUGGAUGAGUUGCGAACGGGUGAGUAACGCGUAGGUAACCUGCCUGGUAGCGGGGGAUAACUGUUGGAAACGAUAGCUAAUACCGCAUAAUAGUAGAUGUUGCAUGACAUUUGCUUAAAAGGUGCAAUUGCAUCACUACCAGAUGGACCUGCGUUGUAUUAGCUAGUUGGUGGGGUAACGGCUCACCAAGGCGACGAUACAUAGCCGACCUGAGAGGGUGAUCGGCCACACUGGGACUGAGACACGGCCCAGACUCCUACGGGAGGCAGCAGUAGGGAAUCUUCGGCAAUGGACGGAAGUCUGACCGAGCAACGCCGCGUGAGUGAAGAAGGUUUUCGGAUCGUAAAGCUCUGUUGUAAGAGAAGAACGAGUGUGAGAGUGGAAAGUUCACACUGUGACGGUAUCUUACCAGAAAGGGACGGCUAACUACGUG